GACGAACCGUGCGAACGUUGUUCGGAAUCACUGGGCUUAAAGGGCGCGUAGGCGGGCUCAAAAGUCAGGGGUGAAAUCCCACGGCUCAACCGUGGAAGUGCCUUUGAUACUGUGAGUCUCGAGGGAGGUAGGGGCGUGCGGAACUUCCGGUGGAGCGGUGAAAUGCGUAGAUAUCGGAAGGAACACCGGUGGCGAAAGCGGCUCACUGGGUAUUUUCUGACGCUGAUGCACGAAAGCUAGGGGAGCAAACAGG
rnacentral:rRNA from 1 species